CACGGAGUUAGCCGGUGCUUAUUCCUCUGGUACCGUCAACACCCUUAGAAAAAGGUGGUUUCGUCCCAGAUAAAAGAAGUUUACGACCCAGAGGGCCUUCAUCCUUCACGCGGCAUGGCUGGUUCAGACUUGCGUCCAUUGACCAAUAUUCCUUACUGCUGCCUCCCGUAGGAGUCGGGCCCGUGUCUCAGUGCCCGUGUGACUGGUCGCGCUCUCACGCCAGUUACUGAUCGUUGGCUUGGUGAGCCGUUACCUCACCAACUACCUAAUCAGGCGCACGCCCAUCUUCAAGCGAAAUUCUUUAAUCAUGAGGUGAUGCCACCCUGUGAUUUUACGAUGUAUUAAUCCGAAUUUCUUCGGGCUAUCAUCUCUUGAGGAAGGUUGCGUACGUGUUCCGCACCCGUUUGCCGGUUCGCCGCCCAGUAUUGCUACCUGCGCUGCCCCUCGACUUGCAUGUAUUAGGCCUGCCGCUAGCGUUCAUCCUGAGCCAGGAUCAACUCU
rnacentral:rRNA from 1 species